rnacentral:lncRNA from 1 species
UAUAGCUCCUACCACAGUACUCUUAUCUCGUAGUGCUAUGUGCCCAUCACCACUAGGGCGGGAAGGUCAUGCUACUUAUUGCUACCCCAUGCACAUCUCUACGGGGGAAUCUACUGGCACCUCCCUUUCUUUUUUUUUUCUUUUUUUUUUUUGAGGGGACACCUCCCUUUCAAAGCAUACAAACUAGUGAUAAGAUAUAAAAAGGAUAAUUGCACGUUUCUAAAAGAGACAAUUGCAUAGCAAAGUGAAAGGAAUCGAAUGGCUUUCAAACCAAAUGUACAAAAUAUAAUCAACCAUACAAGUUAAUGGUUCAGAUGUGCAAUUGGAGAGCAAACUGCAAUCAAAUCCAUUUUAUUUAGGAAGUAAAACAAUGAAAAGUACUAUGUGAUUUUUUUAACACAGACACGCAGAUGCUCACAAACACGCAUAUAUACUCAUUCAUAUGAGCUCACACAUGCACAUCCUAUUUCUAUGAACACCUACAAGUCCAAGAUACACGUGGAUAUAUAACUGUAUGCUUUUGCUAUUGUAGAUCCACACUUUUUUUUUUACGUAUAGUACACAAAUGCAAAUAAUUAUGAAGGGUACAUGUAGGAGUUUUUUUCUUCUUCAAAACCUUGCCACAUGUGUGAUGUGGUUGCACGACUAUGAACGACCUAGGAAUGUUGUGUUGCCUUUCUUUCCUCUUUGUUAAACACAGGUGAAAGGUAUGGUUGCCAACAUGUGGCUUUGACAUAAUAGAAUGUUCUUGUAUGAUGCCAGGGAAGUCCUACUGUUGCAAAAUUGCGUUUCCCAAUGCUAAUUUGUUUUAGAAGGAGUAGAUCAUUGCCUUUCUUCUCUAAAAGGACUAAUAUGGAUGCAUUUUUUUCUUUCUUGAAAAGGAGGAUUACCCCCGGCCUCUGCAUCAAGCGAUUACUAACAUGGGUG